rnacentral:rRNA from 1 species
UGCAAGUCGAACGGAAAGGCCCUGCUUGCAGGGUACUCGAGUGGCGAACGGGUGAGUAACACGUGGGUGAUCUGCCCUGCACUUCGGGAUAAGCUUGGGAAACUGGGUCUAAUACCGGAUAGGAGCCAUCUUUAGUGUGGUGGUUGGAAAGUUUUUUCGGUGUAGGAUGAGCUCGCGGCCUAUCAGCUUGUUGGUGGGGUAAUGGCCUACCAAGGCGGCGACGGGUAGCCGGCCUGAGAGGGUGUACGGCCACAUUGGGACUGAGAUACGGCCCAGACUCCUACGGGAGGCAGCAGUGGGGAAUAUUGCACAAUGGGCGCAAGCCUGAUGCAGCGACGCCGCGUGGGGGAUGAAGGCCUUCGGGUUGUAAACUCCUCUCGCUAGGGACGAAGCUUUGUUGUGACGGUACCUAGAUAAGAAGCACCGGCUAACUACGUGCCAGCAGCCGCGGUAAUACGUAGGGUGCGAGCGUUGUCCGGAAUUACUGGGCGUAAAGGGCUCGUAGGUGGUUUGUCGCGUCGUCUGUGAAAUUCUGGGGCUUAACUCCGGGCGUGCAGGCGAUACGGGCAUAACUUGAGUGCUGUAGGGGUAACUGGAAUUCCUGGUGUAGCGGUGAAAUGCGCAGAUAUCAGGAGGAACACCGAUGGCGAAGGCAGGUUACUGGGCAGUUACUGACGCUGAGGAGCGAAAGCAUGGGUAGCGAACAGGAUUAGAU